GACGGGUGAGUAACGCGUGGGUAACCUGCCUUGUACUGGGGGACAACAGUUGGAAACGACUGCUAAUGCCGCAUAAGCGCACAGCUUCGCAUGAAGCAGUGUGAAAAACUCCGGUGGUAUGAGAUGGACCCGCGUCUGAUUAGCUAGUUGGUGGGGUAACGGCCUACCAAGGCGACGAUCAGUAGCCGGCCUGAGAGGGUGAACGGCCACAUUGGGACUGAGACACGGCCCAAACUCCUACGGGAGGCAGCAUG
rnacentral:rRNA from 1 species